CCCUGGGGUGGGGGAUAACCGCUGGAAACGGCGCUAAUACCGCAUACGUCCUAUUGGGGAAAGCUUUCGGGCGCCCUGGGAUGGGCCCGCGUUGGAUUAGCUUGUUGGUAGGGUAAUGGCCUACCAAGGCGACGAUCCAUAGCUGGUUUGAGAGGAUGAUCAGCCACACUGGGACUGAGACACGGCCCAGACUCCUACGGGAGGCAGCAGUGGGGAAUAUUGGACAAUGGGCGAAAGUGAUCCAGCAAUGCCGCGUGUGUGAAGAAGGCCCGAGGGUUGUAAAGCACUUUCAAUAGAGACGAAAAGCUCAGGGUUAAUAUCCCUGAGUCUUGACUUAACCUAUAGAAGAAGCACCGGCUAACUCCGUGCCAGCAGCCGCGGUAAUACGGAGGGUG
rnacentral:rRNA from 1 species